rnacentral:lncRNA from 1 species
AUAUUCGUCAGCCUUAAGGCAACCUUUUUAGAAAAGAAGUUUCUUGGUGAAGAAACUGUUGCCUCUAAGAUUGAAGUUGAUGAAGUUCAACAGGUAGAAGGACCAGCACUAAUAGCUGAACCUGAGUCGGAUUUGAUUAGAUCAGAUUUAGAGCCUAAUGUACCUGCACCAUUAAGGCGAUCCGAUAGAGUACUGCAUC